GACAGAGGUGGCAAGCGUUGUUCGGAUUUAUUGGGCGUAAAGAGCGCGUAGGCGGUCUCUUAAGUCGGUGGUGAAAUCCCGGGGCUUAACCCCGGAAUUGCCCUCGAUACUGGGAGACUUGAGUGCGGGAGAGGGUAGUGGAAUUCCCAGUGUAGAGGUGAAAUUCGUAGAUAUUGGGAAGAACACCGGUGGCGAAGGCGGCUACCUGGACCGCAACUGACGCUGAGGCGCGAAAGCGUGGGGAG
rnacentral:rRNA from 1 species